rnacentral:rRNA from 1 species
AUUGAACGCUGGCGGCAUGCUUUACACAUGCAAGUCGAACGGCAGCACGGGCUUCGGCCUGGUGGCGAGUGGCGAACGGGUGAGUAAUGCGUCGGAACGUGCCGAGUAAUGGGGGAUAACGCAUCGAAAGGUGUGCUAAUACCGCAUACGCUCUGAGGAGGAAAGCGGGGGACCUUCGGACCUUGCGCUAAAUGAUGAGCCUAAGUCGGAUUAGCUAGUUGGUGGGGUAAAGCCUACCAAGGCGACGAUCUGUAGCGGGUCUGAGAGGAUGAUCCGCCACACUGGGACUGAGACACGGCCCAGACUCCUACGGGAGGCAGCAGUGGGAAUAUUGGACAAUGGGCGAAGCCUGAUCCAGCCAUGCCGCGUGUGUGAAGAAGGCCUUUUGGUGUAAAGCACUUUAAGCGAGGAGGAGGCUACUAGUAUUAAUACUA